GCAGGCUGCGCGCAUGCCUACUGUUGCACAUGCGCAUAUUCUGCUUUGCCCUGUAUUCUUUUGAGUGAGCGGGACAACAUGGAACUUGGACGUGAGUUAAAGUUUUAUAAGAUGAAUGCAGAAUUCAUGCGUCUAACAACUUCACCGCUUCAAGCCAAGUUCCUGGCACAGCUUGACAAAUACGCAGCCAACUUAAUCAAGGUCUUCAGCAGUAGAGGAGGAGCUGCUGGAAGGAAGAUCCGAUUCCUCAUGGCUCCAACAGCUAAGGCAAUUUGUGGGAGAGUGAAGACAUUGAGAUGAAGAGGGGCUGUGUCGUCAGAAGCCUGUGUGUUUACCUCAAUGAGGACAGCAACACACUCAUCAAGGAGUACUUGGAUGUCAACAGUGAGGAAGCUAAGAGAGAGAUCGCACAGACCACCAUGGGGCUGUAUGUGAUUUGCAGAGAAGGUGCUGAUGAAGAGGACAAGCCAGCGGAUGUUGGAGUGGUGGUUGAGGGUGUGGAACUGCUAAGCGAGCUAGGAUGUAUUUCCUUUGGUUGUGCCAUGCUUUUUGGCCUGAUCUGCACACUCAACCUGAACUAUCUUUCAGAAGGUUUUGAUGAACUUGGAUGGCAACAAACUCUCACCAAAGGUGCAAACAUUAAAGAUUAAGAUGCGUCAGUGAGCUCACAAGAACAGUGCUGGAUAGUUGAGCUUGGCUUGCCCCCCCCCCCCCCCCCCCCCCCCCCCCACUAGUUCGUGUGGAUUUACAACAGCUUGGUGUUCAGAUUACUUUUGGCAUCUUCUAUUGCCCCUUUCUGUUAACUUGCUGAUUUCUUCAAAUCUGCUGUUGGAGUGUUGAAGGAAUUAGUGGAGGAAGCCGCUCUCGGACCUUGCCAUUUUUGAGAUCUUUGUUGCAUACACCAGCUUGAGAGACCUCUUUUUAUGCAAGUAAUAAGGCCGUUUGCCUUUUUUCAUGUUUCUCAUGUCUAACUUAUAAAAUAUCUCAUUGACUGCACUUACUUUAAAUGUGUCUGUUAUCCAGGUCCUUUCUUAAAACUGUAAGAUGUUCUCGGGGGAGAGUGCAUAUAUGUUUAUAUUGAGACGCCGUGAGUCAGCAGUUAAGUCAAGAUGACCAUCCAAAUAUGUAAACAUGUAACUCUUGCUAAAUCAAAAAACAAACUACCGCACACUGAUCUGACUUACUACCUUAUUUGUGAAAAAAUAAAUACAUUAGUAAGUCAGAUCAGUGUGCGGUAGUUUGUUUUUUUGAUUUUUCAUAGACUUAUCCAGGUUUCUACCAGCACCUCAUUGUUGUUGCUGUGCUUGGGGAAUUUUUUGUUUUGAUGUAACUGUUGAUGUUGGAAUUGUUCAAACUGAUAUUGGAUAUUCAUAUUUUAAACGCUUUGAGUAUUGUAUUGAAAAAAAGGCUCUUUGAAUGGCAAACAAUUUUUUAAAAGAUUAUUUUAAAAUUCAUUUUAAGUUACUGAAUUACUUAUUUUAUGCUUAUUUUUUAUUUCUUUAGCCUUCAUAGUACCGUCAGGUUUACUGGAAAACCUUGUGCACUUUGCCAUUAGACGAUUUUUUUGCAAUCCGUCAAUAAAAUUUUCCAUUUAUAGUU